AUGAUUUCCCUCCACACCUCCCCGUUCACUCUCCUGAUAAAGCUCGAGCCCGGCCGGAGGCGGCUCGCGCUGCCGCAGUAUGCCGUGCUCCGGCGGCCGGCGCCGAGGAGCGGCGUCCGCGCGGCGGCGGUGGCCGAGUCCGUCGACGCCCAGCUCCGGCAGUUCGCGCGGGGCGGGGCGACGGAGGACGACGACCGGCUGCAGAACUACGAGGCCCUCCUCGUCACCCGCUUCCUCGACAUCAUCCAGGACCUGCACGGCAGCAACUUCAGACGAGUGGUCGAGGAGUGCCUGCGGGUGUCCGCCGAGUACCAGCGCGACGCGGGCGACCGGGCGGCGAAGCUUGGCGAGCUGGGGGCGCUGUUCACGAGCCUGGACGUGGGCGACGCCAUCAUGGUGUCCAGCUCCCUGUCGCACAUGCUCAACCUGGCCAACCUCGCGGAGGAGAUCCAGAUGGUGUACCAGAAGAAGAUGGAGACGAGCCGGCGCGGCGGCUUCGCCGACGAGGCCCUGGCGCCCACCGAGUCGGACAUCGACGAGACCUUCCAGCGGAUGGUGGGCGGGCUGGGCAAGACGCCCCAGGAGGUGUUCGACGCGCUCAGGUCCCAGACCAUCGACCUCGUCUUCACCGCGCACCCCACCCAGUCCAUCCGGCGCUCGCUCCUCGAGAAGCACGCCAGCAUCCGGACGUGCCUGACGCAGCUGUGCGUGGAGGGCGUGUCCGAGAACGAGAAGCAGGAGAUCGACGAGGCACUGCAGAGGGAGAUCCUGGCGGCGUUCAGGACGGACGAGAUCCGGCGGACGCCGCCGACGCCGCAGGACGAGAUGCGGGCGGGGAUGAGCUACUUCCACGACACCAUCUGGAACGGCGUGCCCAAGUUCCUCCGUCGCGUCGACACGGCGCUCAAGAACAUCGGCAUCGACGAGCGCCUCCCCUACGACGUCCCGCUCAUCCAGUUCUCCUCCUGGAUGGGCGGCGACCGCGACGGCAACCCCAGGGUCACCCCCGAGGUCACCAGGGACGUCUGCCUGCUCGCCAGGAUGAUGGCCGCCAACAUGUACUUCUCCAAGAUGGGCAGCCUCAUGUUCGAGCUUUCUAUGUGGCGUUGUAACGACGAGCUCCGGGCCCGGGCCGACGAGCUGCACCGGCUGUCCUCCCGGAAGUACGCCAAGUACUACAUCGAGUUUUGGAAGCAGAUUUCUCCGCGUGAGCCCUACCGCAUCAUCCUCGGCGAUGUCAGGGACAAGCUGUACAACACCUGCGAGCGCGCUCGAGAGAUCCUGUCCAAUGGAGAAUCGAGCAUCCCAGAAGAAGAUACCUACACGAGGGUCGAGGAGUUCUUGGAGCCUCUGGAGCUGUGCUACCGAUCGCUGUGCGACUGCGGGGACAAGCUGAUCGCCGACGGCAGCCUGCUGGACUUCAUGCGCCAGGUCUCCACCUUCGGCCUCUGCCUCCUCAAGCUGGACAUCCGGCAGGAGUCGGACCGCCACAUCGACGCCGUCGACGCCAUCACCACGCACCUCGGCAUCGGCUCCUACCGGGACUGGCCCGAGGAGCAGCGCCAGGAGUGGCUCGUCAACGAGCUCCGCGGCAACCGCCCGCUCUUCGGCCCGGACCUGCCACAGUCCGACGAGGUCGCGGACGUGCUCGGCACCUUCCGGGUCAUCUCCGAGCUCCCCGCCGACAGCUUCGGGGCCUACGUCAUCUCCAUGGCCACCGCGCCGUCCGACGUGCUCGCCGUCGAGCUGCUGCAGCGUGAGUGCGGCGUCAAGAAGCCCAUGAGAGUCGUGCCGCUGUUCGAGAAGCUCGCGGACCUUCAGCAGGCGCGCGCCACCAUGGAGCUCCUCUUCUCCAUCGACUGGUACAAGGAGAGGAUCAAUGGCAAGCAGGAGAUCAUGAUCGGGUACUCGGACUCGGGCAAGGACGCCGGCCGGCUGUCGGCGGCGUGGUAUCUCUACAAGGCCCAGGAGGAGAUCGUGGACGUGGCGGAGCAGCACGGCGUGAAGCUCACCAUCUUCCACGGCCGGGGCGGCACCGUGGGGCGCGGUGGCGGGCCGAGCCACCUCGCCAUCCUGUCGCAGCCGCCCAACACCGUCAACGGCUCGCUCCGGGUGACCGUCCAGGGCGAGGUGAUCGAGAAGUCGUUCGGGGAGGAUAACCUCUGCUUCCGCACGCUGCAGAGGUUCACGGCGGCGACGCUGGAGCACGGCAUGAACCCGCCCGUGUCCCCGAAGCCGGAGUGGCGUGCGCUGCUGGACGACAUGGCCACGGUGGCCACCGAGGAGUACCGGUCCAUCGUGUUCCAGGAGCCGCGCUUCGUGGAGUACUUCCGGUCGGCGACGCCGGAGACGGAGUACGGGCGGAUGAACAUCGGCAGCCGGCCGUCGAAGCGGAAGCCGGGCGGCGGCAUCGAGUCGCUGCGCGCCAUCCCGUGGAUCUUCGCGUGGACGCAGACGCGGUUCCACCUCCCCGUGUGGCUGGGCUUCGGCGCCGCGUUCCGGCACGCCAUGGACAAGCCCGGCGGCCUCGCCACGCUCCGUGAGAUGUACGACGAGUGGCCCUUCUUCCGCGUCACCAUCGACCUCCUCGAGAUGGUCUUCGCCAAGGGCGACCCCGGCAUCGCCGCGCUCUACGACAAGCUCCUCGUCCCCCAAGACCUCUGGCCCUUCGGCGAGCAGCUCAGAGCCAACUACGCCGAGACACAGAGCCUCCUCCUGAAGGUUGCUGGGCACGAAGACCUGCUGGAGAGCGACCCGUACCUGAGGCAGCGGCUGUUGCUGCGGGACUCGUACAUCACGGCGCUCAACGUGUGCCAGGCGUACACUCUGAAGAGGAUCAGGGACGGCGAGUUCAGGCCGGCGACGCGACCGCCGCUGUCCAAGGAGUUCAUCGACGAGACGGCAGAGAGCUUGAUGGAGCUCAACCCCAGCAGCGAGUACGACCCCGGGCUGGAGGACACGCUCAUCCUCACCAUGAAGGGAAUCGCCGCGGGCAUGCAGAACACGGGCUGA
rnacentral:rRNA from 1 species